rnacentral:rRNA from 1 species
UGGGGAAUCUUGGACAAUGGGGGCAACCCUGAUCCAGCCAUGCCGCGUGAGUGAUGAAGGCCUUAGGGUCGUAAAGCUCUUUCGCCUGUGAAGAUAAUGACGGUAGCAGGUAAAGAAACCCCGGCUAACUCCGUGCCAGCAGCCGCGGUAAUACGGAGGGGGUUAGCGUUGUUCGGAAUUACUGGGCGUAAAGCGCACGUAGGCGGACCAGAAAGUUGGGGGUGAAAUCCCGGGGGCUCAACCCCGGAACUGCCUCCAAAACUAUUGGUCUAGAGUUCGAGAGAGGUGAGUGGAAUUCCAAGUGUAGAGGUGAAAUUCGUAGAUAUUUGGAGGAACACCAGUGGCGAAGGCGGCUCACUGGCUCGAUACUGACGCUGAGGUGCGAAAGUGCUGGGGAGCAAACAGGAUUAGAUACCCUGGUAGUCCACACCGUAAAACGAUGAAUGCCAGUCGUCGGGUAGCAUGCUAUUCGGUGACACACCUAACGGAUUAAGCAUUCCGCCUGGGGAGUACGGUCGCAAGAUUAAAACUCAAAGGAAUUG